UACAGAGGUGGCAAGCGUUGUUCGGAAUUACUGGGCGUAAAGGGCUCGUAGGCGGCCAACUAAGUCCGACGUGAAAUCCCAAGGCUUAACCUUGGAACUGCGUCGGAUACUGGAUGGCUUGAAUUCGGGAGAGGGAUGCAGAAUUCCAGGUGUAGCGGUGAAAUGCGUAGAUAUCUGGAGGAACACCUGCGGUGUAGACGGCUUACUGGACCAUAACUGACGCUGAGGCACGAAAGCGUGGGUAGCAAACAGG
rnacentral:rRNA from 1 species